GCCAGCAUGGCAUAGUGGUUUGAGUGUUAGACUGAAACUCUAGGGUUUGAUUCUAAGACCAGGGUUUGAUUCCCUGCAUGGCCA